GCGCCCCAUUAGCUAGUUGGUAGGGUAACGGCCUACCAAGGCGACGAUGGGUAGCCGGCCUGAGAGGGUGAUCGGCCACACUGGGACUGAGAUACGGCCCAGAGUCCUACGGGAGGCAGCAGCUAAGAAUCUUCCGCAAUGGACGAAAGUCUGACGGAGCGACGCCGCGUGGGUGAAGAAGGCCGGAAGGUUGUAAAGCCCUUUUCUCGUUGAGGAAUAAGCACAGGAGGGAAUGCCUGUGGGAUGACGGUAGGCGAGGAAUAAGUCCCGGCCAAUUACGUGCCAGCAGCCGCGGUAACACGUAUGGGACGAGCGUUGUUCGGAAUCAUUGGGCGUAAAGGGCGCGUAGGCGGCGAGGUAAGCCUGGUGUGAAAGACCGCAGCUUAACUGCGGAACCGCGCUAGGAACUGCUUUGCUUGAGUUCAGGAGGGGGAGCUGGAAUUCCAGGUGUAGGGGUGAAAUCUGUAGAUAUCUGGAAGAACACCGGCGGCGAAGGCGAGCUCCUGGCCAUGAACUGACGCUGAGGCGCGAAAGCGUGGGGAGCGAACAGGAUUAGAUACCCUGGUAGUCCACGCUGUAAACGAUGUGCACUAGGUGUUGGGCCACGAAGGUUCAGUGCCGGAGUCAACGCGUUAAGUGCACCGCCUGGGGAGUAUGCUCGCAAGGGUGAAACUCAAAGGAAUUGACGGGGGCCCGCACAAGCGGUGGAGCAUGUGGUUUAAUUCGAUGAUACGCGAGAAACCUUACCAGGGCUUGACAUAUGCCGGAGUGUGCAGGAGACUGCGCAGCCCUUCGGGGCCGGUAUACAGGUGCUGCAUGGCCGUCGUCAGCUCGUGCCGUGAGGUGUUGGGUUAAGUCCCGCAACGAGCGCAACCCCUACCGUCUGUUAACAGCAUUGAGUUGGGGACUCAGGCGGAACUGCCGGUGACAAACCGGAGAACGCUGGGGACGACGUCAGGUCAUCAUGGCCCUUAUGUCCUGGGCUACACACGUGCUACAAUGGCCGGUACAGAGCGAAGCAACACCGCGAGGUAGAGCAAAUCGCAGAAAGCCGGUCUCAGUUCGGAUUGGAGUCUGAAACCCGACUCCAUGAAGUUGGAUCGCUAGUAAUCGCGCAUCAGCAUGGC
rnacentral:rRNA from 1 species